AGUGAUGAUUUUAAACAUUCUUCACUUUGACCUGAUUUACAGUGAUGAUAAACUUCAGCCUGAGC
rnacentral:snoRNA from 1 species